UCGGACAUGGUGUACGGUACAUGUCCUCUUCGGCUAUUAUUUCGGCGGAAUGCAGUUUAAGAGGCAGUACGGGGUUCGACUCCCCGUGUUUGAA